AAAGUCGUAACAAGGUUUCCGUAGGUGAACCUGCGGAAGGAUCAUUACCAAAUCCAAACAACAACCACUGUGAACUGUAUCUAUGUCCUUAGGGAAAGCACUUGUGGAUUGAGCAAUCGGUCCCCAUUUCGCUUUCCCUGUUGAACACCCUUUAAACUUUGCUGGAUUGUUUUUCAAACGAUUAACAAAGACAACUUUUAACGGUGGAUCUCUUGGCUCGU
rnacentral:misc_RNA from 1 species